UACGAGUACUCAUGUACUCACCCAAACAUUGAAACAAUGCUAUGUGCCUGAGAUACCCCUAAUUGCAAUAGUUGAUUAACAUAGCUUUUCCAGAUUAAAUCUUAGGUGAAAACAUUAACUAUGGAUUAUGGACAUGGGGGAAGUGCAGUUAGUGGAUGCCCCCUGGAAGACAGAGGCUAAACUUGUCCAGUGCUGUAGUUUCUAUCCUCUCGAACCACUACCAUUCUGAAUUCUGUUAUUGCUCUUCCUGGUCUUUUCAGUCCUCCUUCCCUGUUCACCCUCUUCAAAUAUUUGUCACAUAAGUCAACCAUCUGAAACUGUCAAACUUCCUCCAUCCCCACUACUUAAGCCAUGUCACUUCCUUCUGGCACUAGAGUUCCCUGAGAGGGGUAUCCCCUGAAGCAUUUCUGAGAAGAUUCCUGGAAAAACCCUGCUGCUACAUUUGGAAAGAGAAAGAAACAUCUGUCAUCUGUGCAGCAGUAGCCUUGUCUUAAGCCUGGUCUACACUACAAUUUUAGGUCGAAUUUAGCAGCAUUAUCUUGAUUUAAUCCUGGAUCCAUCCACAUGACGAAGCACUUUUUUCGACUUAAAGGGCUUUUUAAAUCAAUUUCUUUACUCCACCUCCUACGAGAGGAUUAGUGCUGAAAUCAGCCUUGCUGGGUCAAAUUUGGGGUAGUGUGGAUGCAAUUGGACAGUAUUGGCCUUCGGGGAGCUAUCUCAGAGUGCUCCAUUGUGACCGCUCUGGACAGCGCUCUCAACUCAGAAGCAGGCCAGGUAGACAAGAAAAGCCCCGUGAACUUUUGAAUUUCAUUUCCUGUUUGGCCAGUGUGGUGAGCUGAUCAGCACAGGUCACCUGGCAGAGCCCAUCAGCAGAGGUGACCAUGGAGUCCCAGAAUCUCAAAAGAGCUCCAGCAUGGACCAAACAGGAGGUAUGGGAUCUGAUCGCUGUAUGGGGAGAUGAAUCCAUCCUAGCUGAACUCCGUUUCAGUAAACGAAAUGCCAAAACAUUUGAAAAAGUCUCCAAGGGCAUGAAGGACAGAGGCUAUAACAGGGACUCGCAGCAGUGCCAUGUGAAAAUUAAGUAGCUCAGGCAAGCCUACCAAAAAAACAGAGGUAAACGGCCGCUCCUGGUCACAGCCCCAGACAUGCCGCUUCUAUGAUGAGCUGCAUGCCAUUCUAGGGGGUGCAGCCACCAGGACCCCCAACCCUGUGAUUUGACUCCGUCAAUGGAGUAGGACACAACAUGGAAGCGGGUUUUGGGAAUGAGGAAGAUAGUUCACAGUAAGGAAGCAGAGAAACCGGUUUCCCCAAUGGCCAGGAUCUGUUUCUCACCCUGGAUCUGGAGCCAGUAACCCCCGAACCCACCCAAUGCUGCUGCACAGACCCGCCAGGUGGAGAAGGGAUCUCUGCUGCAUAUGUUUCUCCUUCCCAGAAGCUAGCAAAGAUUAAAUGGAAAAAAACGCAUCUGGGAUGAAAUGUCCUCUGAGCUCAAGCUGUCCUCCCACACUGACAGAGCACAACACAAUGCGUGGAGGCAGACAAUGUCAGAGUGCAGGCAAGCACAACAUGAACACACGGAGAAGUGGCGGGCUGAAGAUGAUAGGUGGUGUCAACAUGCUGACAGAGGCAGGAGUCAAUGCUCAGGCUGCUGGAGCAUCAAACUCAUAUGCUCCAGCGUAUGGUUGAGCUGCAGGAAAGGCAGCAGGAGCACAGACCACCGCUACAGCCCCUGUGUAACCAACCGCCCUUCUCUCCAAGUUCCAUAGCCUCCUCACCCAGACGCCCGAGAACGCAAUGGGGGGGGCCUCCGGCCACCCAGUCACCACCCCAGAGGAUUGCCCAAGCAACAGAAGGCUGGCAUUCAAUAAGUUUUACCGUUUUUAAGUUUUAAAGUGCAGUAUGGCCUUGUUCUUCCCUCCUUCCCCACCCCUCCCGGGCUACCUUGGCAGUUAUCCCUCUAUUUGUGUGAUGAUUUAAUAAAGAAUGCAUGAAUGUGAA